rnacentral:rRNA from 1 species
ACGGGAGGCAGCAGUAGGGAAUAUUGCACAAUGGGGGGAACCCUGAUGCAGCCACGCCACGUGUGGGAAGAAGCAUUUCGGUGUGUAAACCCCUGUCGUGAGGGAAUAAUGCUUGAUUUCGGUCAGGUUGAAUGUACUUCGAAAGGAAGCACCGGCAAACUUCGUGCCCGCAGCCGCGGUAAUACGAGGGGUGCAAGCGUUGUUCGGAAUCACUGGGCGUAAAGGGAGCGUAGGCGGAGACGCAAGCAGUCUGUACAAUACCGGGGCCCAACCCCGGACCUGCAGACUGGACUGUGUCUCUUGGAUAGUUCAGGGGCAGGCGGAAUUCCUGGUGUAGCGGUGGAAUGCGUAGAGAUCAGGAAGAACACCGAUGGCGAAGGCAGCCUGCUGGGGAGUCAUCGACGCUGAGGCUCGAAAGUGCGGGUAGCAAACAGGAUUAGAUACCCUGGUA